GACGAACGCUGGCGGCGUGCCUAAUACAUGCAAGUCGAACGAACUCUGGUAUUGAUUGGUGCUUGCAUCAUGAUUUACAUUUGAGUGAGUGGCGAACUGGUGAGUAACACGUGGGAAACCUGCCCAGAAGCGGGGGAUAACACCUGGAAACAGAUGCUAAUACCGCAUAACAACUUGGACCGCAUGGUCCGAGCUUGAAAGAUGGCUUCGGCUAUCACUUUUGGAUUGUCCCGCGGCGUAUUAGCUAGAUGGUGGGGUAACGGCUCACCAUGGCAAUGAUACGUAGCCGACCUGAGAGGGUAAUCGGCCACAUUGGGACUGAGACACGGCCCAAACUCCUACGGGAGGCAGCAGUAGGGAAUCUUCCACAAUGGACGAAAGUCUGAUGGAGCAACGCCGCGUGAGUGAAGAAGGGUUUCGGCUCGUAAAACUCUGUUGUUAAAGAAGAACAUAUCUGAGAGUAACUGUUCAGGUAUUGACGGUAUUUAACCAGAAAGCCACGGCUAACUACGUGCCAGCAGCCGCGGUAAUACGUAGGUGGCAAGCGUUGUCCGGAUUUAUUGGGCGUAAAGCGAGCGCAGGCGGUUUUUUAAGUCUGAUGUGAAAGCCUUCGGCUCAACCGAAGAAGUGCAUCGGAAACUGGGAAACUUGAGUGCAGAAGAGGACAGUGGAACUCCAUGUGUAGCGGUGAAAUGCGUAGAUAUAUGGAAGAACACCAGUGGCGAAGGCGGCUGUCUGGUCUGUAACUGACGCUGAGGCUCGAAAGUAUGGGUAGCAAACAGGAUUAGAUACCCUGGUAGUCCAUACCGUAAACGAUGAAUGCUAAGUGUUGGAGGGUUUCCGCCCUUCAGUGCUGCAGCUAACGCAUUAAGCAUUCCGCCUGGGGAGUACGGCCGCAAGGCUGAAACUCAAAGGAAUUGACGGGGGCCCGCACAAGCGGUGGAGCAUGUGGUUUAAUUCGAAGCUACGCGAAGAACCUUACCAGGUCUUGACAUACUAUGCAAAUCUAAGAGAUUAGACGUUCCCUUCGGGGACAUGGAUACAGGUGGUGCAUGGUUGUCGUCAGCUCGUGUCGUGAGAUGUUGGGUUAAGUCCCGCAACGAGCGCAACCCUUAUUAUCAGUUGCCAGCAUUAAGUUGGGCACUCUGGUGAGACUGCCGGUGACAAACCGGAGGAAGGUGGGGAUGACGUCAAAUCAUCAUGCCCCUUAUGACCUGGGCUACACACGUGCUACAAUGGAUGGUACAACGAGUUGCGAACUCGCGAGAGUAAGCUAAUCUCUUAAAGCCAUUCUCAGUUCGGAUUGUAGGCUGCAACUCGCCUACAUGAAGUCGGAAUCGCUAGUAAUCGCGGAUCAGCAUGCCGCGGUGAAUACGUUCCCGGGCCUUGUACACACCGCCCGUCACACCAUGAGAGUUUGUAACACCCAAAGUCGGUGGGGUAACCUUUUAGGAACCAGCCGCCUAAGGUGGGACAGAUGAUUAGGGUGAAGUCGUAACAAGGUAGCCGUA
rnacentral:rRNA from 1 species